UAAAUCCAUGGAAAGACUCGAGCUGACUCGAAGAUGCAUGUAUUGGGGAAUAUGCCAAUACAGCGAAAAUUAUCCACUUCAGAUACUUCGGAUGAAAAUCCGGACUCAGAUGGGGAAAAUCCACUACGGGACUCCACUGGGGAAAACCAGAAUGAGGUAUUACCGGCUACUGGGGAAUAAGCUCAAGGAGACAUGUGAUUCGAACACCGGUAUGAGAGUAAAGGAACAACAUGCUCGGGGAGAAUGAAUAUCUA
rnacentral:lncRNA from 1 species